rnacentral:rRNA from 1 species
GAUGAACGCUAGCGGCAGGCUUAACACAUGCAAGUCGAGGGGCAGCGCGAUGUAGCAAUACAUUGGCGGCGACCGGCGCACGGGUGCGUAACACGUAUGCAACCUUCCCGCCACUGGGGGAUAGCCCGGAGAAAUCCGGAUCAAUACCCCAUAAUUCCCUGGGAGGCAUCUCCCGGGGCUGAAAACUCCGGUGGUGGCGGAUGGGCAUGCGCACGAUUAGCUAGNGGUGAGGUAACGGCUCACCAAGGCUACGAUCGUUAGGGGGCCUGAGAGGGUUAUCCCCCACACUGGUACUGAGACACGGACCAGACUCCUACGGGAGGCAGCAGUGAGGAAUAUUGCGCAAUGGAGGCAACUCUGACGCAGCCAUGCCGCGUGC